AUUGAACGCUGGCGGCAGGCCUAACACAUGCAAGUCGAGCGUGCGGCGGACGGGUGUGUAAUGUCUGGGAAACUGCCUGAUGGCGGGGGAUAACUACUGGACACGGUAGCUAAUACCGCAUACCAUCAGAUUUGCCCAGAUGGGAUUAGCUAGUGGGUGGGGUAACGGCUCACCUGUGCGACGAUCCCUAGCUGGUCUGAGAGGAUGACCAGCCACACGGGAACGGGGAAAUGGUCCAGACUCCUACGGGAGGCAGCAGUGGGGAAUAUUGCACAAUGGGCGCAAGCCUGAUGCAGCCAUGCCGCGUGUGUGAAGAAGGCCUUCGGGUUGUAAAGCACUUUCAGCGGGGAGGCGUUACCCGCAGAAGAAGCACCGGCUAACGCCGUGCCAGCAGCCGCGGUAAUUC
rnacentral:rRNA from 1 species